GUCCCUUGUUGAAUCAUCAGUGCCCACCAAGAUGGCAUGAUGAAAUCUUUUUGUGUUUGUGAAUGAGCAUAAGUUUCUUCAUUGGCUGACUGACUGGAGCUUUCAACCUUUUAACAGAUUCUGUCUGUUGCUCCCCAGCUCUUCCUAGCUCAUCCAGUUCACGCUUCCUGCCAAUUCUCCAUAUGUUCUGCCUUGCCAGGACUAACCAGAUGUCAAUAAGGGAUUUUCCCCUGCCUUCAUUUUCAGAUUGUUUCCAACCUGAGAUGGAAAUAGAACAUGCACUAAAACAAAGAGCAAGAAUGGGCAGGAAUAUGAAGGCCUCUUCUGGACGCUUCAAUCAAACUUUUUGUUGAAGCAAGGCACCCUUUUGAAGCUCGGCACAACCCCACAAAUUGUGUUUCAUUUUAAUCUGGUGUCAUAUUUUGCUUUUGUGUGUUAACAUUUUAACUUUUUAUUAGGACUAGAGACCUCAGCACAGGUAGCAGUCAGGCUUCUCUGAAUUUCUGAAAGGUCCUCAGUGACAUCUACAGGGGUUGUGAAGGUAUAUAAACUUAUUUGUCUAUUCUAUUGAAGAACUUUGCACCAGAACCUUUAAGAGAUCUUGAAUUCAUGUUUGUAUGAGAUCCAGCUCUGCUAGUGUUUCCAAAAGGGAAAGUACAACCAUUUCACUAAAGCAUGACUGAAAUUUUAGCUUUGAAAAACAUAAUAUAGAAUUAUCUUUCCACACUACAAGCCCAUUGUAUAUAGUCAUCUCAUGCCAACAAAGAUGAACUGCCCAUAUGGACAACUCUCACUGGAUCAUCACAGCUAAGGGCAGAUGGCUGAGACUUUUCACCAAACAAAAGGCAUAAUUAAACUAAUAGGAGAAUUCUGAGAGCUAAAAGUCAUCCAACAUUAAUUAAGCCCUGGGCACUGGGAUCAAAGAGGAUGAAAAAGUCUGUUCUGGCAACCAUAAAUAGUUGGAUGUUAUGAAUACCAAAUAAUGUUAGCAUAAUAUAUUAAGCAUACAUUGCCUUAUUGUACUUGUCAUGAAAUAGCUUUCUUAAAAAGUAGAAUAUUAUUUUAGAUGGCUGUUACUUUUGAGUGCAUAAACAGGGCAUUUUUCACUGAAUAAGGAGUAAUAUUAUUGAUUGCUAAGUUCUCUUUGCUCACAGAUAGCUAAAGAAAUUAUGCUUGGCUUUUGUGCUGGGGUCAUCCAGCCUUGGAAAAUGGUGAUUGUCCCUUACAGGAAUGUGCAGGAAGGGAUCAGAAAGCAAAUAUUCUUUUAUUCUGAUUGGUUGUCAGAGCAGAUGUCACUUCAUUGUGAGAAAAUGUUACUUUCCCAAGGGCCUUGACUAUUCAGCUAUGCUUUGCUUUCCACCAAAAAAAAAAU